rnacentral:rRNA from 1 species
GACGAACGCUGGCGGCGCGCUUAACACAUGCAAGUCGAACGGAAAGGCCUGCUUUCCCUUGUGGAUUGCGGGUACUCGAGUGGCGAACGGGUGAGUAACACGUGAGUGAUCUGCCCCCAACUUGGGUAUAAGCCUGGGAAACUGGGUCUAAUUCCCGAUAGGACUGCAGGGUGGUGCCUGUGGUGGAAAACGAUUUUCUAGUGGUUGGGGAUGAGCUCGCGGCCUAUCAGCUUGUUGGUGGGGUAAUGGCCUACCAAGGCGGCGACGGGUAGCCGGCCUGAGAGGGUGGACGGCCACAUUGGGACUGAGAUACGGCCCAGACUCCUACGGGAGGCAGCAGUGGUGAAUAUUGCACAAUGGGCGGAAGCCUGAUGCAGCGACGCCGCGUGGGGGAUGACGGCCUUCGGGUUGUAAACUCCUUUCGACCGCGAGGAAGCCACCUGGUUGGAAGGGUGGUGACGGUAGUGGUAGAAGAAGCACCGGCUAACUAUGUG